GUGGGGAAUAUUGCGCAAUGGAGGCAACUCUGACGCAGCCAUGCCGCGUGCAGGAAGAAGGCGCUACGCGUUGUAAACUGCUUUUAACCGGGAAGAAACCCCAGGACGUGUCCUGGGUUGACGGUACCGGAGGAAUAAGCACCGGCUAACUUCGUGCCAGCAGCCGCGGUAAUACGAAGGGUGCAAGCGUUAUCCGGAUUCAUUGGGUUUAAAGGGUGCGUAGGCGGAGCGUUAAGUCAGUGGUGAAAUCCUGCAGCUUAACUGUAGACUUGCCAUUGAUACUGGCGCUCUUGAGUGCGCUUGAAGUGGGCGGAAUGUGCCGUGUAGCGGUGAAAUGCUUAGAUAUGGCACAGAACACCAAUUGCGAAGGCAGCUCACUAAGGCGAUACUGACGCUGAGGCACGAAAGCGUGGGGAUCGAACAGGAUUAGAUACCCGAGUAGUCC
rnacentral:rRNA from 1 species